rnacentral:lncRNA from 1 species
CAAGCACCAUGAUACCAAGACAGUGGAUCUGAUAACGGAGAUGGCUAUUAAAUGACUAAUGUGGGGCGGGAGGGAAUACCCUGAACCAAAGUGUGACUCACUUCCCGGGUGGGACAUAGAAAGACCGUGCAAGAUUUCAUCAGUCUACUCAGAAUGGCACACAAUUUAAAACUCAUGAAUUGUUCCUUUCUGCAACUUUCCAUUUAAUAUUUUCAGAUUGCAGUUGUCCGUGAGUAAAUGAAAUCGUGGAAAGCAAAUCAGCAGAUGAGGAGGGACUUGCCUAUCGCCUGAUUCCAUGAGGAAUUUAAGGCAGCUGAGGAAUAUAAGGAAGAUAUUUAAGGAUGAACGUUGAAACAAAAAGGGGUUGCUGCUUAACCUGGAAAUUCAAUUUAGCAGAGUGGUUCAUUCAAAAUGUUCCAGGGUCAUGGAGCAAAUCCAUAAUACAUCUUAUACACGUAUAUAUCUUCAAGGGAAAGGAAAUUCAUAUGAGGAGAAAAUAGAAGAAAAUGGAGAGAAAGACGAAAACAAGAAAAAAGUUAUGCACAAAAUUCCUACAUAGGGUUACA